rnacentral:misc_RNA from 1 species
AAGCAGAGAGGAGACGAGAGAAGGCAGUGAUGGUGGUUGUCGCUCAGCUGAUUAGUGUUGUGGCGAUCAGCUGACAUGCGACUCGCUGUUUAUUUUACACUUUCUCCUCAAUUUCUCCUCUCUGCUGGUGUACACGGGUGUUUUCAAGUUCCAGAGGCAGAGUGACAAGAUUUCUACAUUACUAAUUGGAGAAACACUCUUGAAAACCUCGCUAAUCAUUCCUGUGGCCUUGGAAAAUAGUUGUGGUGAGAAAACAAAGCAUUUCUGAACAAGGACCAUUAAGAGGUACACCACCAUCAUCACCACCACCACUAUGACCCUUCACGACACAUCCACACCAAUCUGCCAUGGCCAACACCUUGUUCUGGGUCAGGCGUGUCUUGAGGUAGCCAGCAGUGACCCAUACAACACUCUCCAGCUCUGGGCACAGGCUGAUGAAUGUUACAAGUGUCCGCCCUGGUACUACCUCACUCUAGCACCCAACACCACCCACACCCUGCCCGUCAACACCACCUACCCCACCACCAUCACCAUCACCAAUGAGGAGGGCCGGGACCUUUACAAACUGGGCUACCACUUUGACCUCUAUGGGAACUACCACUUGCUUCUGGACACACAUGGAGCGCAGGGAGUGGAGGUGACGAGGCAGCCAGAGAGUGAAGUGCUGCCACUUGUCACAGCCAUCCUCUUCUUCCUGCUGUUAAUGUUUAUGUGGCUGUGUAGCAAGUUUCUGGUGCGGCGAAUGGACUCACCGGUCACAGCAAGGCAACCAGAGGACAAUGAGAGAAGUCCUUUGCUCUCCAGACGCCCUCAAGACCAUUCAUCCGUGUUAUCCGACCAACUAUCCGACCCACAGCCAUCCACAUCACAGUCUUCCACCUCCCAGCCAUCCACCUCUCAACCAUCCACCUCCCAGUCCACUUCUGCUUCCAUACGCCAUCCAGAUCCUGUGCCGCUGGAUGGACGGAGGGAGUCUGGAAGGUUGCGGUCCCUUGAUGCCUUUCGUGGAUUGGCAAUAGUGCUGAUGAUCUUCGUGAACUACGGGGGGGGCGGCUACUGGUUCUUCAAGCAUGCAAGGUGGAAUGGUCUCACUGUGGCCGACCUGGUGUUUCCUUGGUUUCUGUGGAUCAUGGGAGUGAGUUUGGUGUUCUCAAUCCGCUCACAGCUUCGCCGAGCCACAAAAAGGAUCAUUAUUGUGGCGCGAAUUCUCAAACGAUGCCUCAUUCUCUUUGCUCUCGGCCUCAUUGUCAACAGUGUUGGCGGUCACAACUACAUGCCAACUUUCCGAAUCUUUGGCGUGCUUCAGCGGUUUGCCAUUUGCUACUUCCUGACGGCAGUGAUUGAAGUGUACAGCAUGAACCCUCAGGAGUCCCCAGAGUAUGUCUGGUACUGGAAGAUCCGCGACAUAGUGCGUUCCAGCCCACAGUGGGUGUUUACUCUGGUGCUGCUUAUCAUACAUGCCACACUCACCUUUGGCCUCCCUGUCCCCGGCUGCCCCAUGGGCUAUCUUGGACCAGGGGGGCUGCAUGAGUGGGGGAUGAACCGAGGCUGCACAGGGGGAGCGGCUGGAUACAUAGAUCGGGUGGUGGUGGGUCGGUCUCAUGUGUACAGCCACCCUACUUGUGUCACUAUAUAUGCCAGCAACACUCCAUACGACCCUGAAGGACUACUGGGCGCUCUUACUUCUGUCCUCAUGGUUCAGUUUGGUGCAGCUUGUGGCCGCAUCAUCACCACAUAUCAGACACACCGCGGCCGCUGGAGUCGCUGGCUUGUGUGGGCGCUGGUGACUGGUCUUCUGGCUGGCUUUCUCUGUAGUUGGAGGAAAGAAGGUGGCUUAAUCCCAGUGAACAAGAAUCUGUGGUCGUUAUCUUAUGUUCUAUGCACUACUUGCUUUGCCUUCAUCCUCUUCACUGUAUUCUAUGUUAUGAUUGACGAGAGAGGCUGGUGGGGCGGAAAUCCAUUACGUUAUGCAGGCAUGAACUCAAUCCUUCUAUACGUUGGGCAUGAGAUUUGUGGCGGGCUGUUUCCUUGGUCCUGGAAGCCAGUUGGACAGCACCAUUCCAAUCACCUCAUUAUGAACCUUUGGGCGACAAGUAUCUGGAUUGCCAUUGCUUACUUGUGCCACAGAAGGAAGUUGUAUUUGUCUGUGUAAGGGUAAGGAUUCUAAUCAUAGGUGUCAAUGUGUUUAGCUUGUGAUUUCCUGUGUGAGGCUGAGGUAGGAUGAGAAAUGAAGGUUCUAUGCAGUAUUUGGUUUGGUUUUCCUGUGUUUGAGGCUGAGAAAUCUGUGCUAGGUGAGCAUUUUAGUCCCCUGGUCUGUUGUUUGUGUUUUGUGAGUGUUUUGAUGACCUGGUGUGUUGUCCGUGUUUGAGGUUGUGUCAGGGAGAGAGACCAAAGUUUUUUUUAGUGCUGUUCAGUUGUAGCCAGAUUAAUUUUUAUUUGUGCCAUAGAAGAAAGCUGUAUUUGUCUGUGUAAGGGUAAAGGUGCCAAUCAGAGUUUUAGAUGUUUUUAGCUUGUUUUCUCCCACGUGAGACUGUGGCAGGAAGAGAGAUGAAGGUUCUAUGGAGCAUGUAUUUGGCUUUUCCUGCAUUUGAGGUUGAUAAAUCUGUGUUUUGUGAAUGCUGAGAGACAGACACCAAGGUUUUCAAUGCUGUUCAGUUGUAGCCAGAUUAAUUUUUACUUGUGCCAUAGAAGGAAGUUGUAUUUGUCUGUGUGAGGGCCAGGUAAAGGUGCCAGUCAGGGGCCAGGUAAAGGUGCCAGUCAGGGGCCAGGUAAAGGUGCCAAUCGAGGGCCAAGUAAAGGUGCCAGUCAGGGGCCAGGUAAAGAUGCCAGUCAGGGGCCAGGUAAACUUUUUUUUGAGGGUGAGGCAAGAAGAGAAAAGAAGAUUGUUUGCAGUGUUUUGUUAGUUUUUUUUGUGUUUGAGGUUGGAAGAUCUGCAUUUUGUAAAUGUUUUGAAGUUGUGUCAGGGAUAAAGACCAUGGCAGGAAGGGAAAAGGUAUGUAGCUGAUAAUUGACUUAGUUUUUCCUGUAUUUGAGGUUGGAAGAUCUGCAUUUUGUGAAUGUUAUGAUGUCCUGGUGUGUUUUUCUUAUUUGAGAUUGUGUCAAGGGUAGAGAAUAAGGCAGGAAUGAAAAUGAAGGUAUGUAGCUGGUGAUUGAUUUAUCUUUCCUGUAUUUGAGAUUGAAAGAUCUGCGUUUUGUGAAUGUUUUGAUGUUCCGACUUGUUUUUCUUAGUUGAGGUUGUGUCGGGUAAAGAUAUCAAGGCAGGAAGAGAGGUGAAGAUUGUAUGCAGUGUUUAGUUUGUUUUUCUUGUGUUUGAAGUUGAAAGAUCUACAUUUUGCAAAUGUUUUGAUGUUCUGACUUGUUUUUCUUACUUAAGGUUGUGUCAGGUAAAGAUACCAAGGUUUAUUUUAGUGAUGUUCAAUUCUAGCCAGAUUAAUUUUUAGCUAUAUUAUUUUCCUAUUGUCUCAGUGUUUGUUUUGAUUCUUUCCUAUUUUUCAAUCAUUUUUUCUGUCUCAGUCUGUGUUUUAUCUUUUUUUAUUCAUUUUCUACAAGGUUUACUUCAAUGUGCAGCCAAACUGAUUUUAAACUAGUCUUUCUGGCUUUCUUUAAUGUCCAAAUGUGGAAAAUAUUCUAGUUAUAAAGUCUUCAGCUCAAAGUGAGAGAGAGAGAGAGAGAGAGAGAGAGAGAGAGAGAGAGAGAGAGAGAGAGAGAGAGAGAGAGAGAGAGAGAGAGAGAGAGAGAGAGAGAGAG